rnacentral:misc_RNA from 1 species
UAUGAAGAACGUGGCGAAAUGCGAUAAGUAAUGUGAAUUGCAGAAUUCAGUGAAUCAUCGAAUCUUUGAACGCACAUUGCGCCCAUUAGUAUUCUAGUGGGCAUGCCUGUUCGAGCGUCAUUAAGUCCACUUAAGCCCUGCUUAGUGUUGGGAGACUGCUCCAGCGGUGCUACCCUGUAGCUACCCUGCAGCUCCUCAAAGACAGCGGCGGAGUUGUGGUAUCCUCUGAGCUUAGUAACUUGUUCUAGCUUUCGAGUACACCACUUCCCCUGCCGUAAAACCCUUAAUUUUUAAUGGUUGACCUCGGAUCAGGUAGGAAUACCCGCUGAACUUAAGCAUAUCAAUAAGCGGAGGA